AAUCGGUUGGGGUAAACUUCGCGAAAGCGAAGGACGCUAAAAUCAUGGGUCUAAGGCUGCUAAUUCAUAUUGGAAUUAGGCUAGGAUCGCCAGAUUACAAGC
rnacentral:ncRNA from 1 species